AUACGGAGGAUGCAAGCGUUAUCCGGAUUUAUUGGGUUUAAAGGGUGCGUAGGCGGUUUGCUAAGCGGGAGGUGAAAUGCCGGCGCUCAACGUCGGAAGUGCCUCCCGAACUGGUGGACUUGAAUGACUCUGCCGUGGGAGGAAUGUGUAGUGUAGCGGUGAAAUGCUUAGAGAUUACACAGAACACCGAUUGCGAAGGCAUCUCACGAAGGGUUGAUUGACGCUGAGGCACGAAAGCGUGGGGAUCAAACAGGAUUAGAUGCCCUGGUAGUCCACGCAGUAAACGAUGAUGGCUAACCGCUGGUUUAUUCGGAUCAGUGGCCAAGCGAAAGCGAUAAGCCAUCCACCUGGGGAGUACGACCGCAAGGUUGAAACUCAAAUGAAUUGGCGGGG
rnacentral:rRNA from 1 species